GUGGUAUUAGCUAGUUGGUGAGGUAACGGCUCACCAAGGCUUAGAUGCCUAGCGGGUGUGAGAGCACGACCCGCGCCACUGGCACUGAGACACUGGCCAGACACCUACGGGUGGCUGCAGUCGAGGAUCUUUGGCAAUGGGCGAAAGCCUGACCAAGCGACGCCGCGUGGAGGACGAAGGCCUUCGGGUUGUAAACUCCUGUCGAGGGGGAUCAAGGGGCAACCUUGAGUGAUCCCUGGAGGAAGCUCGGGCUAAGUUCGUGCCAGCAGCCGCGGUAAGACGAACCGAGCGAACGUUGUUCGGAAUCACUGGGCUUAAAGGGCGCGUAGGCGGCUUAUCAAGUCAGGGGUGAAAUUUUGCGGCUUAACCGUAACAGUGCCUUUGAUACUGAUAGGCUCGAGGGAGAUAGGGGUCUGCGGAACUUCUGGUGGAGCGGUGAAAUGCGUUGAUAUCAGAAGGAACGCCGGUGGCGAAAGCGGCGGACUGG
rnacentral:rRNA from 1 species